GGAUAUUCUUUCCUGCUUUUUUGAAGAUGAGUUAACCAUAUAGCUGUGGGUACAUUUCUGGGUUUUCUCUUCUGUUCCAUUGUUCUGUGUGUCUGUUUUUGUGCCAUUACCAGACUGUCUUGAUGACUAGAGCUUUGUAAUAUAAGCUUGAAUUCUGGAAUUGUGGUGCUUUCAGUUUUUUAUUUUUCAGGAUUGCUUUCGCUAUUCAUGGUCUUUUGUGGUUCUCCACAAAUUUUAGGAAUGUUUGUUGUAGCUCUGUGAAAAAUGCUGGUGGUGUUUUGGUAGGGAUUGCAUUAAAUGUGUAGAUUGCUUUGGGUAAUAUAGACAUUUUAAAAUAAUGUUUGUUCUUCCGAUCCAUGAGCACGGAAUGUUUUUCCAUUUCUUUGUAUCCACUUGAUUUUCUUUUAUAAGUGUUCUAUAGUUUUCAGAGUAUAGAUCAUUACCUCUUUAGUUAGCUUCAUUCCUAGGUAUCUUACUGUUUUUGGUGUAGUUGCAAGUGGAUUGAUUCCUUGAUCUCUUUUUCUGAGACUUCAUUAGUGUAUAGAAAUGCAACAGAUUUCUGCAUGUUAAUUAAAAAAAUUUUUUUUAAUGUUUAUUUAUUUUUGAGAGACAGAAAAAGUGUGAGCAGGGAGGGGAAGAGAGAGCAGGAGACACAGAAUCCAAGGCAGGCUCCAGGCUCUGAGCUGUUAGCACAGAGCCUGAUGUGGGGCUUGAACCCACGAAUUGCAAGAUCAUGACCUGAGCCAAAGUCAUAUGCUUAACUGACUGAGCCACCCUGGCGCCUCUGCAUGUUGAUUUUAUAUCCUAUGACUUUGCUGAGUUCAUGUAUUAAUUCUAGCAAUUUUUUGGUGGAGUCUAUCGGGUUUUCUACAUAGAGAAUCAUGUCGUCUGCAAAUAGUGAAAGUUUGACUUCUUCCUUGCCAAAUUGGUUGCCUUUUAUUUGUUGUCCGAUUGCUGAGGCUAAGACUUCCAGUACUACGUUAAAUAGUAAUGGUGAGAGUGGACAUCCUUGUCUUGUUCCUGAACAUAGGGGAAAGGCUCUCAGUUUUUCCCCAUUGAGGAUGGUAUUAGCUGUGGGUCUUUCAUAUAUGACCUUUAUGAUGUUGAGGUAUGUUCUGUUUAUCCCUACCUUGUUGAAGGUUUUUAUCAAGACUGAUUGCUGUAUUUUGUCAAAUAUUGAUUGAUUUUUGUAUGGUGAACUAUCUUUGCAUUACAAAGUUAAAUCCCACUAGUCAUAGUAUAUAAUCCUUUUAAUGUGCUGCUGAAUCUGGUUUGCUAGUAUAUUGUUGAAGAUUUUUUGCAUCUAUAUUUAUAAGGGAUAUCGGCCUAUAGUUUUCUUGUACUGUCUUUGUCUGGCUUUGGCAUCAGGGUAAUGCUAACAUAUAGAAUGAGUUAGGCAGUGUUCCUUCUUCCUCAGUGUUUUGGAAGAGUUUGAGAAAUUUUGGUAUUCUUUAAUAGUUGCUAGAAUUCACCACUGAAGCCAUUUCAUCCUGGGCUUUUCUUUAUUGUAAUUUACUACUUUAUUUUGUGUUAAUCAAAUACUUGGCUGUAUUCCAUUUUAUUUUGUCUGUGGAUGUUUUACAUUAUUUUUGUAGGACUUCCACUAGGGAUUACAACAUGCCUCUUGAACUAAGCACAGUCUACCAUGCGUUAAAUUAUUUCGGGUGAAAUAUUAGCUUCUUUGAAGUCACUGCUAAAUCCCACAUAUGAGCUCACUCAUUGAGUCCACUUUUAUUGACUGCCUUCUUUUCUCCCAUGAGUAUGGGUCAUACGCUCAUUUCUUUGCAUGUGAAGUAAUUCUUGAAAAAGUGGAUAUUGUGGAUAAUACAUUAUAGUCAUUCUAGAUUUUGUUAUGUUCUUUGAGGUUUGCUUUUUUGUUGUUGUUUUAGCUGGCAGAUAACUUGUCUCAAGCUAUAGAUUCUUUCCCCUCAUGCUCGGUUGUUUUUGUCUCUACUUAGUCUUUUAGUUUAUGGCUCUUGUGUUUGUAUGCUGGUGCUUGAUGGAUAUCCCCUGUACCUCUGUAGUUAGCUGUUAUGAAGAAUUUUGGCAGAGUUGAUAUUAAGAUUGUGGGCCUCACCUCUAUGCAUUUUUUUUUCUUUCAGAGUUUUUUCCCUAAAUUUACAGCUGCUCUCUCAGCUGUAAGCUCUGUCCACUGACACUUCAAUCUAAUAAGGCCACAGCUUUCUGCUGCUUGAGCUGUGUGCUAUUUGGGGGGUGCCAAAAAGGGCAGUAAACGUACAUAUCUUACCAGUCUUUUAGGGCAGACUCCGCUCUGAUAUUUGCAUGUCUUACUCGGCAUCCCUUUGGAUCUUGCCUCUGCUCGUGUAUUUCAGUGGUGCGCCAGGGAUGUGGGUCUUGCUCCUUCUGUGGCUCUGUUGCUUUUAGAAUGUCUCUCCUGAAACUUGUGGUGAAAAUGUCUGCCCUGAUUCCUGUCCUCUGCAACCUCCAGAUUGUAAGCCUGUAUUUUUCUGCCCCAGGAGCUGUGGAUACAGGAAUUAGGGGUGUUGGUGGGAGUAAUGGUGCUGAGUGCCCUGAGGCAAAAAAGCCCAAAGUUGUAAUUCUUAACCAUUGCAUUUCUGUAUUUCAAAGGUAAACCUUCUCUAGUCUGUUCCUGUCUAUGGUCACUUUUCAUUGCCCUCAGAUAGUGUGUUUUGAAAUCUAGUUUACCUAGAUUUAGAAAUUAUCUUCAGGAAACCAUGCCUGACCAACUCAUUCUGCCGUUAAUGGAAGCUAGAUUAAUAAGUAUUUGCCUGUGUCUCAUAUGCAAAGUCCAUAAAAUUGAACAAGCAUUUUAAAUUUGAAUUACCUUGAGAAAACUGUGUAGGUUGAGAAUUCUUUUAGUUGCUUUUAGUUUUUAGGUAUAAUUAGGGGUAAUGAUAAAUGCAGGACCUAAAUAUUAUGUAUAUGAAAUCUCGGGUAUUCCAAAUAAUGAAUGGAUGCAAGAAUGUUUAAGAGAGUCUAAGUAACCCCCAAACCUAGAACAAUAAAUUUUGGCCAUGAUAAUAACUAUUUAAAUAGAUGGAUUCCCUGAUAGUCGUCAUGUUUAAUGAAGGUUGCUCAGCAUUUGGAAUUCUAAUGUGUUUGAGCCUAAUAACUUAUACAGUUUAGUCAAAGGAUAGUGACACACUCUGUGGUUUGGUUUCUGACUUCAAGUCAGAGUAGCUUAAUAAGUAUGAUGUGGUAGGCACAGAUUUAAUGGGCUUCCAAAGACGUUUACUUCCUAGUCCCUGGAACCUAUGAAUGUAUUACUUUACAUGGCAAAGGGACUUUGCAAAUGUGAUUAAGGUUAUGGACCUUGAGAUUGGAAGAUUAUUCUGGAUUAUCCAGGUGGGUCCAUUCUAAAUACAUGAGUUCUUAAAAGUAGAACAGGAAGGCCUAAGAGUGGUCAGAGUAAUGCAGUAAUGGCAGAAGAGGCAGCAGAGAUUUGAAGUAUGCAAGUACUUAAUCAGAGUCGAUGGCUUUGAAAAUAAAGGAAGGGGGCCAUGUGCCAAGACAUGGAAAUGUCUUCUAGAAGCUGGGAACUGUCCUUAGUUGACAGCCAACAGGGAAGUGAGGACGACCUCAGUCCUACAACCAGAAGGAACUAAAUUCUGCCAACAACUUGAAUGAGCAAAGAAACACAUUCUCCCCUAGAGCCUCAAGAAAGGGAUGCAGGUAUGCCAACACCUUGAUUUUAUUAGCCCACUGGGACCCACUUUGGAUUUCUUUUUUGUUUGUUUUCUUCUAAUAUUUAUUUAUUUUGGGAGAGAGAGAAAGAGUAAGUGUGCAAGUGGGGGAAGAGGUAGAGAGAGAGGGAGAGAGAAUCUCAAGCAGUCUUCAUGUUAGUCAGCACAGAGCCUAGCGUGGGUCUUGAUCCCAUGAACCAUGAGAUCAUGACCUGAGCUGAAGUCAGGUGUCAGAUGCUUGGGGCGCCUGGGUGGCUCAGUUGGUUAAGCGUCUGACUUCAUCUCAGGUCAUGAUUUUGUGGUUUGUGGGUUCGAGCCCCACAUUGGGCUCUGCACUGUCAUUGCAGAGCCCACUUUGGAUCCUCUGUCUCCCUUUCUCUCUCUGCCCCUUCCACACACACUCUCUCUCUUGAAAAUAAACAUUAAAAAAAAAAAAGUCAGAUGCUUAACCAACUGAGCCACCCAGGUGUCCUCCACUUUGGAUUUCUAACCUCCAGAACUGUAAGAUAAUAAAUUAGUAGUUUUCAAGCCUCUAAGUUUGUGGUAAUUGUUAUGCAGCAAAUAAGAAAUUAAUACAUAUAGCAUCUGUACCAAAUCAAUUAUCUGAAAGGAAAGUUACUUGUUCUGUAGGAAAGAGAAUGACUGAUCUUUAAAAGUCUGCUCUAGGAAGACAUUAGAGUCAAAACAAAGUAAAAUAUGCCCCCACUCACUCACCCACCCACCCGUAGUGUUUUAAUGAAUCAUGUCUUUCCUCAUGGAAGAAGAAAGUGCCAGAGUUAUAUGAUUUUUUUUAUUGGUAGGGAACAGACAACUUUCUUAUAUGCAGGUACACAAUGUUAACUGGUGGUUUUAAAGUAGGCAGCUGCAGUGGGAUCCUGCUUGUAAAAUAUGCCGCCGACUCUCCUGAUAUCAUGGCUAGUGAUACAUUUUGUCCCCCUGUUGCUCUUAAAAAACAAGUAAUGGCCUCAAGUCCUAUUAAAGAUUCUUACAGUCAGAUAAUUUGGGAAUCAAAGAAAACUUUUUAUUCUAACUAGAUUUAUAUAUUUAGCUCUAUGCUGGUGCAUAUGUUUUAAACCCUACUUUGUGCUUAUUUUUAAGACUGUUUUAGAGUUAUGCAGAUUGAUAAAGUCCAUUCUUGGUCUUUGGGACAUACAUAGGUUGUUUUUCCCAGAUCUGAUUACAGAUGUGUGGUGGAGUCUGGUUAUGAGUCAUGGGUAACCAGUCAUCUUAAUUUCUAACAUAUGUAAGAAUAAUAGGAUCUCAACGCAUGAGCAGAGUGUUUUCUAUAAAGUGUCCUAUUAUGGUUAGUGGUUCCUAAUCAUGUUUAUUUUAAACUAUGUUCUGAGGAGUCCUAGGUAUUUGGAUGUAGGGAUUGUUGAGUUUCUUGACUGAUCCCUUAAUUUAACUUUAUUGAGAGUAAUCUGCUUUUAUCUUAUUUAUAAAUUUGGGUUUGGUAAAAUAAUUUGUUUGAAAAAGUUAAAUUGCUAAAAGAAGUUUGAAAAUUGAAGUCAUGCUAUUUCUUGGGAGAUGUAUUAGAUCAUUGAAUGAUCUACAGAAUCCAAAUCUUUGCUUGGCAGAGACUUGAGGAAGAGUUAUAUCUUGGGACGGAGUGGAGAGCAUAAAUGGUUAAAACACAUACCUACAGUUUCAAGAGUAAUAAAAUGGUGUUUUAUUGGGAUGUGCUGUAUGAUAACCUGCAUCUUCCAGCUUGAUCCAGUUACUUUUUGGGGAUGGACGGCUAUCUACGAUGAUGAUCUCUUCCUUGGAAGGUAGAGGAGAGAAGUAACCUCUCUGGGUUUUCUCCAGCUGUGAUAAUUGCUUGACAGAGGGUUAAGAAUUGAGAGAAUGUAUUUUGCUUGUUUCUUUUGUUUUUAAUGUCUGUUUAUUUAUUUUGAGAGAGAGAGAGAGAGAGAGAGAGAGAGAGAGAGAGAGAAUAUCCCAAAUAGGCUCUGUGCUGUCAACGCAGGGCUCAAUCUCACUGAUCUGUGAGAUCAUGACCUGAGCCUAAAUCAAGUCAGAUGCUUAAUUGACUGAGUCACCCAGGCGUCCUUUGUUGCUUUCUUUAACAGGUUUGCAGAUACUUAAGAAUAGUCACCUAAUAGAGACUUUCCACCUACAACUAAAUAAUGCAGUUGAUAUUUUAGAGUGAGCUAAUUAUUCAGCAAAAAUAAAAACUAAAAGGAUUAGUUUAGAAGAUUUCUACUGAGGGUAAAUGACUUAUGAAUAAAUCUUGUUAAAUGGGUACACAUAGGCUACGUAAUGUAAUGUAAUAACCAGAAUAACAAAAUAUUCAUCAAGUUUUCCUUCAUCAAAGUAACUUUACUAACACUUGAGAGAUUUUAAAACCUCAUAAAAUUAUACCAUAAAAGAUCUUAACUGUUCCUGCUAUAAAAUUAAAAGAACUUAGGCUUUGAAACCAUCUAGACAUUGGUUUAAAUGCCAUUUCUGUCUGUCAUGAUAACUGUGUGAAUUUCAACAAGUGAACUUCACUGUUAGGUUUCAAAGGACUGUAGGGUAGAUUUAAUGAGUCAGAGUUUUUAGAUUGCCUUUCACCUUGCUUAGCAUAUAAUAGAUCCCCCAAAUAUUGCUUUCUUCUUAUUUUUCUUUCUUUAGAAAUGGAAGUAAAGAGCAAAUUUGCAUGGUAGUUUAAAGGUCACAUUGGGUAUACAUCUUCAUUUGUGGUUGUCUUAUGUUGUAACAUAUAAAAAUACUUUUUUUUUCAAAAAUCACAUCAUACAAUGUACAUUUAUUGUGCAUUUUUUUCUGAUAACAAGAUAUUUAAAUAUUACUGUAAAGGUUUUCAAUUUAGAGAUGAGUACUGGAGGAGAAUAAAAAACAUUUAAGAAUGGGUGCCUGGGUAGCUCAGUAGGUUGAGCAUCUGACUCUUGAUUUUGGUUCAGGUCAUGAUCCCAGGGUUGUGGGACUGAGCCCUGCCUUGGGCUCCAUGCUGAGCACAGAGUCUGCUUAAGAUUCUCUCUACCCACCUCCCUACCCACCCCC